rnacentral:rRNA from 1 species
GAUGAACGCUAGCGGCAGGCCUAAUACAUGCAAGUCGAACGGUAACAUGAGUAGCAAUACUUGAUGACGAGUGGCGCACGGGUGCGUAACGCGUAUGCAAUCUACCUUUUACUGGUGAAUAGCCCGAAGAAAUUCGGAUUAAUACACCAUAGUAUAUUGAGGAGGCAUCUCCUUAAUAUUAAAACUCCGGUGGUAAAAGAUGAGCAUGCGUGACAUUAGCUAGUUGGUGAGGUAACGGCUCACCAAGGCAACGAUGUCUAGGGGAUCUGAGAGGAUUAACCCCCACACUGGUACUGAGAACCGGACCAGACUCCUACGGGAGGCAGCAGUAAGGAAUAUUGGACACGGGUCGCAAGAGUGAUCCAGCCAUGCCGCGUGAAGGAUGAAGGCCCUAUGGGUUGUAAACUUCUUUUGUAUGGGAAAAAACCCCUCUACGUGUAGAGGGCUGAUUGUACCAUAAGAAUAAGGAUCGGCUAACUCCGUGCCAGCAGCCGCCGUAACAC